rnacentral:rRNA from 1 species
AUUGAACGCUGGCGGCAGGCCUAACACAUGCAAGUCGAACGAGGGGCGGACGGGUGAGUAAUGUCGGGGAAACUGCCUGAGGGAGGGGGAUAACUACGGGAAACGGUAGCUAAUACCGCAUACCAUGAGAUGUGCCCAGGUGGGAUUAGCUAGUUGGUGGGGUAACGGCUCACCAAGGCGACGAUCCCUAGCUGGUCUGAGAGGAUGACCCGCCACACUGGAACUGAGACACGGUCCAGACGCCUACGGGAGGCAGCAGUGGGGAAUAUUGCACAAUGGGCGCAAGCCUGAUGCAGCCAUGCCGCGUGUAUGAAGAAGGCCUUCGGGUUGUAAAGUACUUUCAGCGGGGAGGCGUUACCCGCAGAAGAAGCACCGGCUAACUCCGUGCCAGCAGCCGCGGUAAUAC